GAAAAAAGAGUAAUCUGUUUUAAUUGAAAGAUCUGAGUUUGGCCUCGUACUUUAAGGAAAUUGAGGUGUGGAAACAAAAGACAAUCUUGAACAGAAGACCAACAGAACUGCACAUUAAGUAGAGAAAAAGCCUGAAAGUACAGAAAAAAAGGUCAUCCUUGGAUUUCAGAACUACAAUGAUAUAACAGUACCUACUGAUAUUCUAAUAUUCAGGCUCAUGAAAUCCUGUAUGCGCUCAUCAUAUCUAUAUAAAGUUACAUUAAGAGUGAGUACUUUAAUAUUCUCGAAAUUUGCUUUAUUAUUGAUCAUGUCUCAUAAU